rnacentral:rRNA from 1 species
UACAGAGGGUGCGAGCGUUAAUCGGAAUUACUGGGCGUAAAGCGCACGUAGGCGGCUUGGUAUGUCGGGUGUGAAAUCCCCGGGCUCAACCUGGGAACUGCAUCCGAAACUGCCUUGCUCGAGUAUGGGAGAGGGAAGUGGAAUUUCCGGUGUAGCGGUGAAAUGCGCAGAUAUCAGGAGGAACACCGAUGGCGAAGGCAGGUCUCUGGGCCACUACUGACGCUGAGAAGCGAAAGCAUGGGGAGCGAACAGG